rnacentral:rRNA from 1 species
UCAAAUGUAUGUUGACGUAUUCUGAAAGGGAUACUUCUUCGGACAAUAUACAAGGUAGCUGCAUGGUUGUCGUCAGCUCGUGUCGUGAGAUGUUGGGUUAAGUCCCGCAACGAGCGCAACCCUUGCCUUUAGUUGCCAGCAGUUCGGCUGGGCACUCUAAAGGGACUGCCGGUGUUAAACCGGAGGAAGGUGGGGAUGACGUCAAGUCAUCAUGGCCCUUACGGCCUGGGCUACACACGUGCUACAAUGGUCGGUACAAAGGGUUGCCAAGCCGCGAGGUGGAGCUAAUCCCAUAAAACCGAUCGUAGUCCGGAUCGCAGUCUGCAACUCGACUGCGUGAAGUCGGAAUCGCUAGUAAUCGUGAAUCAGAAUGUCACGGUGAAUACGUUCCCGGGCCUU